GAUGAACGCUGGCGGCGUGCCUAAUACAUGCAAGUCGAGCGAAGCGGGGACGGGUGAGUAACACGUGGAUAACCUCCUAUAAGACUGGGAUAACUUCGGGAAACCGGAGCUAUACCGGAUACUUAUAGAUUGAUCUGCGCUGCAUUGGCUAGUUGGUAAGGUAACGGCUUACCAAGGCAACGAUGCAUAGCCGACCUGAGAGGGGGAUGGGCAACACUGGAACUGAGACACGGUCCAGACUCCUACGGGAGGCAGCAGUAGGGAAUCUUCCGCAAUGGGCGAAGGCCUGACGGAGCAACGCCGCGUGAGUGAGGAAGGUCUUCGGAUCGUAAAACUCUGUUAUUAGGGAGGCGGUACCUAAUCAGAAAGCCACGGCUAACUACGUGCCAGCAGCCGCGGUAAUUC
rnacentral:rRNA from 1 species